rnacentral:rRNA from 1 species
CCUACGGGUGGCAGCAGUGGGGAAUAUUGGACAAUGGGCGAAAGCCUGAUCCAGCCAUGCCGCGUGUGUGAAGAAGGCCUUCGGGUUGUAAAGCACUUUCAGUGGGGAAGAAAGCCUUGGGGCUAAUACCCUCGAGGAAGGACAUCACCCACAGAAGAAGCACCGGCUAACUCCGUGCCAGCAGCCGCGGUAAUACGGAGGGUGCGAGCGUUAAUCGGAAUUACUGGGCGUAAAGCGCGCGUAGGCGGUCUGAUAAGCCGGUUGUGAAAGCCCCGGGCUCAACCUGGGAACGGCAUCCGGAACUGUCAGGCUAGAGUGCAGGAGAGGAAGGCAGAAUUCCCGGUGUAGCGGUGAAAUGCGUAGAGAUCGGGAGGAAUACCAGUGGCGAAGGCGGCCUUCUGGACUGACACUGACGCUGAGGUGCGAAAGCGUGGGUAGCAAACAGGAUUAGAUACCCCGGUAGUC